ensembl:lncRNA
GACUCCAGCCAGGCCUGGACUUUGACUCUGCCCUCUCAGCUCACCAGGCCUCUACUGGAGGGAGAUGUGAAAGAGAAAGUUAAAAGCGAGCACGUCUUUCUGGAAGUCUGGCUGGGCCUGCACUCAAUCUCCCAGCCCCGCUGUCCGCACUGCAGUGCUUGCUCUCCUCGGGCAGCGGCCUGACUGCCUGGCUGCUCCUGCUCUGUCCAGGCAGCCCAGCUGGUCAGAGAUCCCUGCAGGGCCCCGGCCCUCAGAGAGGUCACCCAGUCCCCCUUCCCAGCGGCCAGGUUGCCUGGCCAGUGUGGAUGUGGGGAGGAGCAGAGGUCUCCUGGAUGCUGUGGCUGCACAGACAUCUCCAGACUGCCAAGUUCUGCCUGCCUCCCGUGCAGCCAGCACCCGGCCAGGCUUGAAUCAUUCUUCAGCUUGAGCUGCGUCCCACGCUGCCGGCUCCAGUUCGAUCCCUGCAGAGCAGCACUCAUCCACCCACACUUGCUGCUGGCACCCGGUUGCCUGUCAAACUCACCCCGCUGCAUGCUGGGUCCUCACACCCAUGGCACACAUCCCAGUUCCAGGGUCGCUGCAGUGACGGAUUGAGUCCCAGAGCUUGAAAUUGUCCUCAACUCUGCCCUUGCAUCCCUGUCUGAUGGUGAGGUCUCUGGGUUCCUGCAGCCUGGUCACUCUGGUCAGCGGGUCCAGCUCCGAUGACUGCAGUGUUUCCUGACAUGUCCCCUGCUGCCUUGUGUGUGGUUUGUGAAAUCAUGAGAAAUAGACACAUUGAUCUCUGCCCUGGUCCCUGGCCUACAGCUGCUGAAGCCCUUGCAGACAGGGGCACUGGGAGGUUGUUUGUUCUAGUAUCGGGUCUUUGACCCCAGUUCCAGAGCUCCUAGGAUGUCUGUCAUUUCCUGAGUGAUAGGAGGGUCCAGCACACAGGUCCUCGUCCUCUGGAAUUUCCUGGGAGCUGGAACUUUGUCAAGCAGCAAUGGAGGUCCGUUGGGCUUCGCCACAGUUCUGCAUGACCUAAAAUCCCUCCACACUUGGAUUUCAUGAUGUUUUAUGGAAUGUGCAGUGACCUUGUUUUCCACGUUUCGAACCAGAAAAUCUUUGGACUCAUGGGAACAUGGGUUUGGAGCCAGACAGACAGCCUGACAACAGGGCUGUGGAAGAACUCAAGGCCGGUGCUGGUCCAGGGAGGUAACCCCACUGCUUGGUCCUUGGCAGAAGGGCUGCAGGCAUCCCUAGGGUUAGGAAGAGCCAUGCUCCAGUCCCCAUCUGCCCAGUAUACGAUGCAGGCCUGAGAAAAAAGACGCUAAGAGACAGAACUAGAAGGGAAAGUGGGGGCCAGGAUGGCCAAUGCCGGUACAGCUGACAAAGAUGCUGGCCAGUCCCAGGCACUGAGUUUUACUGGCAAUCAGUUGAGUUAAAGGCGAGCUACAAAUAGUCUCUAUGGAAAUUAAUGUAAAAAAGGCUCAUAAAGGACAAGACAAACCAUUCUCGAAUUUAGGAACAUAAUAGACAAAAUAUAUGGUUGCAAUUAGAACAUUGUCCUUCUAGUCAGAAGGGUUUAGUUGUGGGAACGGAAUUUGGGUGUGAGUUACUCUGACCUCAGCACGUAGGCUUCAGCCAGACUCACUUCUAUAAACAAGCCAGCUGUGGGGUUAACUCUUCACAGCCUGCUUUGGGAAUAAUCAAUUUUAUGGUCCUCUGCACUCCAGGAGUGUUAGUUGUGCACAGGCUUAUCUUCUCACUGCUCUGAUAUGCACAUGAAGAUAGGUUUCAAGGCAAAAAGCUUUCCAUGAGGCUUAGCUGAAUAUUUUGAAGAGCAAAUCAAGACUCAGUCAGGUGUGUGAUGAUACAUGGAUAGGGCUACCAGCAGGGAAACUGACAGCCAGGAAGGCAGGAGCUCCCAUCAACGAAGCUCUCUAGAAUCCACAAGCUAAUGAAGUCAAGGCCAAUUGUCAGUUAGUCAGCAGGCAUAUCACCGCCAGCAUCCAGGGCAGUGGGUGCAACCACAGGUGACUGCUAAUGGGCAAAUUAGGGAACUUCACGGGCAGCAGUUCACAGAACUAGAUGGCAGGGAGACAGGGCUGCUGGAUCAAGGAGGUCCUGGGCACAGGGGUCCACAUGUGGGAUUUCUGGUGCAACUGAGAAACCCAAGGAGCCGGCUUCCUCUAGCUGCCAACUGCAGCAGCACGGUGCGUUCAUGAGCACACGGGCAUUCUUGUUUGCAGUGGCAUCACUGGUUGCUCUUGCCCUGUUUUCCUCACGCACCAGAGGAAGCACAGGGCCGAGGCUGGGCCAGAUGGUGCCACUUGUACAGGCUGGAGUUCCUCGUAGGACCACCUGCUUACCUUCAUGCUGCCCGACCCCACUGCAGCCCUGGGAACCCUCUGCUCCAUGAACUGACUUGACUCCACUCGGUAACUGAUCACUGGGCCCAAGUUCAUUGAUUUGUUAAACUAAAGGGUUUUUGUGGUGGUAUAUUUGAUUUCUAACCUUUUCCUUUGAAGAUUAGUGUGUAUAUGUGCAGGGGGAGAUUAAGAGACAAGUGCAUUUGCAUAUCUACACAUACAGCCAGUGUUCUGUGUCCCAGAUCCACAUCUGUGACUGAACCUGCUGUCUCCCUGCACUGUGCAGUUAGGGCCAUGAUGGCUGCACCUGUACAGGACAUGUCCAUACUUUCCUUCCUGCCAUUCCCCAAACAAUGCAGCAUAUCAGCUAUUUAGGUGGCGCUUACACUGCUGUAGGCAUCACAAGUCAUCUAGGGAUGAUUUAUACUGGGGUUGUACAAUAUUUUAUGGAAGGUACUAGAGCAUCCUCAGAUUUGGGCACCCAUAGGGGGCCCAGGGGCCCAUAUCUGUGGAUACUGAGGCAGGACCAUGCUUCAGUGAGGAGCCCAUGUUAGUGCACAGAGGAGAGGAGCAGCAGAAAGCACCGGGCAUCGAGGGGCCCUGCACCCACAGUGACUUUCUGUGUCCCUUCACCAGGGUCCCCUUUCCUCUUUGAGUUUUGAAUCCCUCCACUGGAGGGUAGAGAAGAUGAUUUCACCCUGCUCUGGGCUCCGCUCAGCUCUGAUCUCCUGCUCUGGGCUGGGACACCUGUGUUGUCACCUGCCUCCUCUGCUCACCCUGCAGGAAAUACACUCGAGAAGGACACUUGGCAUGAGAAUGUGCCUGAGGGAGGCAGUCUUGCUCUUCCUGACACUGCUUUCCUGGGAGGCCAAAGUCCACUGGAUUGGCAAAGACCCCUAAACACUGUCCUGAGAAAUGCCAGGGCAACCCUGUGCCCUACACUUCUUCCAUGAAGGACCAGUCCCAGCUGCAGAAGGGCCAGGGCAAGGUGGUCAAGAAGACUGUCCAGGGCAUUCAUCAGAGGUCACCUUGACCACUCAAUGUGCAGCUCCUCAGGGCAGAGAGGGCACAGCUGUGGCAGCUAAAGCAGAGGGCACAUUAUACUCGGGCCCCUUCCGCCUCUGCUUCCCAUACCCUGCCCAUACCUGGCUUUGUUUCCUAGUCUCCCUCCAUGCGCCCACCCUCCUCUUGAGCAGAAUUCCAGCAUUUUCCAGUGCUCUUGUUCCUUCAGUGAGACUGGCAGCAUCACUCAGACAAAUCUGCCUGCUCAGUCUCUUUGGCCAGGGUUGAGUUGCUCCCGCUGGCCACUCCAUGUGCCUUAUACAUUUCCUCUCUUCACAGAACCAGGAGCUUCUGGAAAGCCUGAACUCAGGGAUGCUGUGAGACUUCUCAGGGCACAUUCUUUUCCUUAAAUUCCUUUAUUGGUACAUUUUAGGUAAACAAUACAGUUACAUUCAUCAUUGGGAUCUUGCACCUAUACAUGAUGCAUCUCGGUUCUUAUUUUUCCCCUCUCCCCUGCCCUCCCUUCACCCCCUCCACCCUUCUCUAUUUACAGAGACUUUGUUUCCAUUUUUUCCUUUUCUCAUAUUUUUUCCUUUCCCUUUUUUUCCUUUCCCCUACCCCUCCCACUUCCCCUACUCCUUUAGACCUUUUCUUCCUAUUGCACAUUAUCAAUUAUUCAUUUUAAUCCUUAUUUACACUUUCAGUUUCUCACACCAGAGAAACUAUUUGGUAUUUACACAUGUGUGUCCUAUUUAUUUCACUUAAUAGUAUCACCUCAAUGUGGAUCCAUUUAGCUAUAAAUGUCUCUAGUUUGUCAUUCUUUAUGGCUGAGUAGUACUCCAUUUUAUUUUUUAAAAACCCCACAUCUUCUUUAUCCAGUCUCUAGUUGAUGGGCACAUGGGCUAUUUCGAAGCUUUAGCUAUUACAAACUGCUGCUAUAAACAUGGGUAUGCAUAUAUUGCUGUGGUAUGAUUCUUUUAAUUCUUUUGGGAAAAUACCCAGCAGAGGAAUAGCUGGGUCAAAUGGGACCUCUAGCCCUAGUUCUUUGAGGUAUCUCCAUACUGAUUUCCAUAGUGGCUGCACCAGUCUGCACUCCCACCAGCAAUGGAGAAGGGUUCCUUUCUCUCCACACCCCGCCAGCAUUUGUUAUUGGUUGAUUUCUUGAUAGCAGCCAUUCUUUGUGGGGUGAGGUGGAAUCUCAGCAUUGUUUUCAUCUGCAUCUCUCGAAUGACCAGUGAUGUUGAACAUUUUUUCAUAUGUUUCUUUGCUGCUUUUACUUCUUUGAGAAAUGUCUGUUUAUUUCAGACAUUAUUUCUGUUUUAUUUCAUUUUUUGGAUUGGGUCUUUAUAUCUGGGGGGUCUGAUUUUUUUUUAGUUCUUUAUGUAUUCUAGAUAGUAGUCCUUUGUUUGAGGUACAGCUGCUAAAAUUUUUUCCCCACAUUGUAGGUUGUCUCUUAGCUCUGUUGGUGGUUUCUUUUGCAGUGCAGAAGAUUUUAAUAAGAUGAGAUCCCAGUUGUCGAUUCUUUGUGCUAGCUCCCAUGCUACUGAGGUUUUGUUCAUAAAGUCUUUUCCUAUGCCAAUGUCUUUGAGAGUUCUACCUAACUUAUCUUCCAGCAAGUUUAGUGUUUCUGUUUUAAUAUUUAGAUCUUUAAUCCACUUCGAUCUUAGUUUAGUGCAUGGUGAUAGGUAUGGGUCUAGUAUGUAUGAUAGGUAUGUCACUCUUUUUGUUUUAUAUAAUAGAAAAUGAAUGUCUAUUUGGCAAAAAAUUUUCCCAAUGAUUAUUAAGCUUUUUUGUUCUUUUUUGUUGUUGUUGCUUUUUAGGCAGGGUCUCUCUUUGUAGUUCAGGCUGGCCUUGAACUCACUGUGCAGCCCAGGCUGUCUCAAACUUGUGGCAAUCCUCCUGCCUCAGCCUCCCGAGUGCUGGGACUACAGGAGUGCACCACCACACCCAGCUUUAAGCUUUUUUUUAUUCUUAAAAUCAGCCUGGGGCCAGGGAUUUAGCUCAGUGGUUCCCUGCCUGCCUUGCAAGCGGAAGGACCCGAGUUCGAUUCCCGGCACAAAAAAAAAAAAAAAAAAAAAAAAAAGCAGCCUGAACCUGUGUUACCUAAGAUAAAGAACAACUUUCUACCUCCAUGUGAUGAGAUCAGGGAUGAGGUUAAAGGUGCAGAUGGCCUGGUGUCUCUGUAACUCAUGUGACCCUGUGAAGGGGGUGGGAGGCUGUGUCUUGCACCAAGCAGUUCCCUUCCUGGAUUUGUCGUUUGCUUCCUUGUUAAAUUCUGCACAGUGUGAACGUGUUGCUUUCUCUAUUUGACCCUUUAGCCUGGGAGGGUCCCAGCCUGUGGGUAACAGUGCUGAGGUGGGAUGGGAGAAACGAAGACAGGUGGAGAACGGGCAAAGAGAGGUGAAACUUUAAAAUUGUGUUGCUAGAAAAACUCAGCUUCAGGACACAAGUCACUCGGCACACUCAAAAAUACUUCUUCUUUCCCCUAAGGGUUGUAGGGAAGGUUGAGGGACAGGCAGGGAAAGUUAAAGGGCUUCAGCGAGGUUUCUGGCAAAUAAAGAGUUAAAGCCCUGCUAGAGACAGUAGCUAAGAAAAACAAACAGAGCUGAUGAGGCUCCUGGCUCACUUAAGGGCAAGGCUCAAUUCCUGCACCUCUGUAUAAGUACAUACAUAUUUUGUUAUUUUCUCACCAUAUUAAUACACUAAAAUGCACAGGUAUCCUUUUUACUAACUCAGCCUUAAAUGUAAUUGUGCUGCAAGUCUCACAAGAUAAACACCCGGACAACACAAAGGGACCGCAGAAGUGCUUGUUCCAGAAUGUAUACAUGGGCAACAGCGAGGGCCAUGGCCGAGUCAGAGGUCUCAGAGCCCAGAACAGCCAGUGAAGUUACGACAGCUCUCAAGGGACACGGUCCGUUUCUUGCCAUGUAAUCAGAGGCUACGAACAAAGACCCCUUGAGUUCUGGCUCUGGGCUCCCUAACUUACUCCAACAAAGUAGCUAUCUAUCGCUUUAUUUCUCUCCCUCUCUCCAAUCAAGUAAUUUUGUUUCCCCUUUUCCCUUCCUUUCCUAAUAAAGUGAUUUUGUCUCUCCUUCAGAACAUAUAUCUCUAAUUCUUUUUUUGUGUGUAUGUUGUUUUACAAACCCUAGGUAAAAAUCUACCCUCAGGAGCUGUAACAGGGUGAGGGCCUAAGGCACCUGGGCUCAACUUUUCUCCCAUGAAUUAUACUUCCUGCCACAGAAAUCUGGAAGCUGCGAUACACACAGACGUCAGCCUUCUAACUUAGCCUGGCCGGCACGGAAAUGAAGUCCUAGGUCCCCCACCUUGAGGACACCCGACUCCAUGGGAACUCCACCCCAGACCAAGAUGCAUCUCUGUCCCAAGGCUUGUCCUCCAUUCUCUGAGAGGGGACUGUUUUAAUUUUGCCUAAUAAACCUCUUCACUCCUCUUGCUGAUGAAUCUUGAAAAUACUUUUUCUGCGAUGGAAGUCAGCGAACUUUCAACCUGUUGCAUGGGUGUGAAUGCUGCUGAUCGAGGGGACCUGUCUCUGGGCCGACGAACCUGCCCUCACCAGCAUGGCGCAGUCGCAGCUGAAGAGAAGAAGUGGCGCCACGGGCAUCCACACACUCGCAGAGUGCACACCGUGGGCCAAGCCGAGAGGUGCCUCAGUGCUAACAGAAUUCUGCACAGGGUUAGAUGCGAGCCUUACCAACAGCUAGAAACCAUACACUAUGACACGGAUUACCUUUUUAGCUAUUUUAUUUUAUUAUUAUUAUUUUUUUGAGAUGGGGUCUUGCUACAUAGCCCAGGCUGGCUUUGAACUCACGGAGAUCCUCCUACCUCCCUAGUCUUGGGAUUCUAAGUGUGCAUUACACACCUGGCUCUUUUUAGUCUAUUUUAACUCUUGAUCAGUAAGCUUAUAAAACUGUGUUUCAACCAGCUUUGAACCAUCAUAUACCAUAAUUUUUUAUCUGAAUGAAAUUAUUAAGGCAGAUAUUCAUAAUAUAAUUAAACAGAAACACUAUGAAGUUCUGGUUUUUUUUGGUUUUUUUCAGUACUGAGAAUUGAACCCAGGGCCUUCACACUGAGCUACAUCCCAGCCCCUUUUACUUUUUUUUUUUUUUGGUACUGGGAGUCUAACUCGGGACCUUGUGCUUGUGGGGCAGGCCGCAGAACCACUGAGCUAAAUCCGGCCCCUUUUUUAAUUUUUAUUUUGAGACAGGCUCUUGCUAAGUCACCAAGUCGCCCAGGUUGGGUUCAAAUUUGUGGUCCUUCUGCCUCAGCCUCCCAGAGUGCUGGGAUCACACGUGUGCCCCACCCCACCCAGCUUAGUGUUCUUCUAGCCUUAAUAUUCUUUCCCCUCAUCCUUCUCCUUAAUUUGCUUGUCAUCACAAUGAAAUGUGUUUG